AGACUGGCUCCAAACAAAGGUUAAAAGGAAGAAAACCCCUGAGUGGUGGCAUGCACAGAAGGGAAGACCAAAUAAUUGAAACUAUAUUUUACUAAGAAUACCAGAAGAAUAAGUUGGAACAGUUUUCAGGAUUAGAACCUGCUGAACAGCACAGCCUCUGCCACCCAGCCCCUCCUUUGUGGGGCUCCUCCUUGCUGCAGGUCUCCAAAGCUGCCACCAGCCCCAGGCCGUGCAGGAAGUCUCCCUGUGAUGGGAUCUUUCCCAUCACCCUUGCCCAUUCCUGGAAAACCUUGGAUCUUUGCCUGUUCUGUCUUCAACCAGUGCAUCUCAGGGUGAGUAACUCCAUUGUGGCAUAAAACCCCCAUUGGCCACUCC